rnacentral:sRNA from 1 species
GCGAUACAUGUACUUUUCUCAAUCAAAGGUGGUCAGCUCACUCCUGAUAGAAAGGGGGUGGUGCUCUAUGACAGUUUUUGAAGAGUUGAUGUUUGCACUUGCUUUUGCAAGCUUCAUGGUCGCAAUCCUGUCAUUUAACGAAAAGAAAUAAUCCACCUUUGAGUUAGGAGCUCGGUGGAUUAUUUGAACCAAUUCGCUGACCACCCUGAUAAGGAAGCCAUGUAUAGCCUGGCUGUUGGUGUUCCUGCACCAACA